rnacentral:lncRNA from 1 species
UGGAGAAUGUUCUUAUAAUGUUUCAGGUAGUUCAAAAGAUUGAGUUUGAAAAGCUUCAUCAAGUGUGCCAAGUUGAAAUUUCUACAAGUUGGAAGAGUUUUCGAAGCCUUCUGAGAGUGUCCAAUUGAUUUGAAGCCAUUUGAGAACAUUUAAAAGUGUUUUAAUAAGUUUCGGACCUUAAAUAUAUAAAAAACUAGAUUGACACAAAAUAGAACGAUCCAUCUAGGUCAUCCCCUUUCCUUGGGUAGCCGGCAUAUUUUAUUUUGGCUCAUGGCACACAGUGGGACGACCCACUUGGGACGAUCUAUGCAG